rnacentral:hammerhead_ribozyme from 1 species
GCACUGUUGAGGAUUCCCACAACAGGACGAAACGGCCGUCCAGUGC